rfam:Oryza sativa Japonica Group DNA, chromosome 3, cultivar: Nipponbare, complete sequence.
AAGAAGUGCAGUUUUAGCACUGUUCAUGUUCAACGUUUGACCGUUUGUCUUAUUUGAAAAAAGAUUAUGAUUAGUAUUUUUAUUGUUAUUAGAUGAUAAAACAUGAAUAGUAAUUCAUGUGUGACUAAUUUUUUUAAUAUUUUUUAUAAUUUUUUUUAAAUAAAACAGAUGGUCAAAACGCUAAACACGGAUAUCUAUGGCUACACUUAUU